rnacentral:rRNA from 1 species
UACGUAGGGGGCAAGCGUUGUCCGGAAUCAUUGGGCGUAAAGAGCGUGUAGGCGGCUCGAUAAGUCUGCUGUGAAAGUCCAGGGCUCAACCCUGGAAGGCCGGUGGAAACUGUCGGGCUAGAGUCCGGAAGAGGCGAGUGGAAUUCCUAGUGUAGAGGUGAAAUUCGUAGAUAUUAGGAAGAACACCAGUGGCGAAGGCGGCUCACUGGCCCGGUACUGACGCUGAGGCGCGAAAGCGUGGGGAGCAAACAGG